UGGGGAAUAUUGGACAAUGGGCGCAAGCCUGAUCCAGCCAUGCCGCGUGAGUGAUGAAGGCCCUAGGGUUGUAAAGCUCUUUCACCGGUGAAGAUAAUGACGGUAACCGGAGAAGAAGCCCCGGCUAAUUUCGUGCCAGCAGCCGCGGUAAUACGAAGGGGGCUAGCGUUGUUCGGAUUUACUGGGCGUAAAGCGCACGUAGGCGGACUUUUAAGUCAGGGGUGAAAUCCCGGGGCUCAACCCCGGAACUGCCUUUGAUACUGGAAGUCUUGAGUAUGGUAGAGGUGAGUGGAAUUCCGAGUGUAGAGGUGAAAUUCGUAGAUAUUCGGAGGAACACCAGUGGCGAAGGCGGCUCACUGGACCAUUACUGACGCUGAGGUGCGAAAGCGUGGGGAGCAAACAGG
rnacentral:rRNA from 1 species